UACGUAGGGUGCAAGCGUUGUCCGGAAUUAUUGGGCGUAAAGAGCUCGUAGGCGGUUCGUCGCGUCGGCUGUGAAAUCCCGGAGCUCAACUCCGGAUCUGCGGUGGGUACGGGCAGACGUAGAGUGAUGUAGGGGAGACUGGAAUUCCUGGUGUAGCGGUGAAAUGCGCAGAUAUCAGGAAGAACACCCGUGGCUAAGGCGGCUCUCUAGUACGGUACUGACGCUGAGACGCGAAAGCGUGGGGAGCAAACAGG
rnacentral:rRNA from 1 species